ACAUUGAAAGAGAAGUUGGAGUUGAAAUAGUAGUACUUGCCCAGCCUCUUGUACAUCCUCCUGCCCAGCCUCUUGCACAUCCUCUUUUACUCACAUGGCGGUCCUAUGUGACAAGAAAAAUAACCGACUAAAUUGGAUAUUUUCAAUUCCUUUGGUUCUUGUUGUAAUUAAGAGGAUCAAUGUUAUUUUCAACUCGAGAUCUCAAAAGUUCUGAGUACUAGUCCUGCUCUCUCUCUCUCCUCUCUCUGCUCUCUCUUCUCUCUCUGGGAUAUGGAGUAAUCCUCUAAAUACCUGGUUUUUCCCAAGUUUCCCUAAGUAUGCAGCAUAUCAGUUAUGACACUUGAUUAUGGAAAGAGCGGAGGAUAGUGGUGAAGAUGCGGUAAUUUCUAAUAACCAUAAAAUCUUCCUUCUCCCCUUCCCCUUCUUCGUCUCGCUUCUUCUUUGGUUCUUCAAUAUGGAUUGUCAAGAUACGUGCGGAAUCCAUCAUCCUUGUCUUGCUCCAAAAAUGCUCUAGUGGAUCCAACAUAAGGGAUUAUAGCACUAUGAGGACCGGGUACAAAGUUGGAGGCUUCCCUUUCGAUCUGUCUCUGGUAAAAUUCAUUAAUCUUUCUUUCUAUCUCUUCCAGUGGAUAUAGGCAAUGACAUCGUUUCCUGGCCGGUGAAGUCAUAUGGAGAACGAGAAAUUUUCUUUUAGCCAUUCUUUAGGAGUGAACAGAUGUUUUUAGCGUUUCAGAGGAUGAUUGAGAUGAAAUUGGCUGUUGUGGGAAUGAGAUUUAUAGGAAAAUAGGGGAAUCUGUAGCGCUUCUUAGUCAUGAUUCGUGCAUGUAGUGGGUUCUCUUUUCUAUUUUAGCCAUUAAAGCAUUCAAAUACAUUCAGAAUUCUAAGAGUCCUUAAGAUACAAGAUUCCGUGGUGCUGAUCAAUUGCUUUGACUAGAGGGAAUUUAAUCAUUUUGGGGGUUAGCCUUUCUAAACAUCGUUUUAUUAAGGAUAGUAACAACGGUUAACAAGAAGAAAAAGGGUCUUGUUAACUUGUAUACCCGUAUACAUGUUAAGGUUCAUUAAAAUAAUAAGGGUCUUGUUAACUUGUAUACCCGUAUACAUGUUAAGGUUCAUUAAAACAAUAGUUUCUUGCAUUGGAAACAAGAUUUGUUUGUUUUAUUACAUUGAAAACAGUAAUUCUUUGCAUUGGGAACAAAAAAUGUUGUUUUUAGUACAAGAAAAACCAAUUUUUAGUAGAAUAAGACAAAAAAAAAACACAAUUUUCAAAGAAAUAAAACAAUUCUUUAUUAAACCUUAACAUAUAUACGGGUAUACAAGUUAACAAAAGCCCCUAAAUAGAAUACCGAGUAUUUAGACUCUUUCCUCUUUAAUUUAUCUAUAUGUAUACGUAUUCGUACUUUAAGUAAAAUUUGUAGUAGAUACCUUAGAUCCUUUUAAUUAUUAUCAAGGACCUAAAUGAUAUUUUCAUAAACUUUAUCAUCUUCUCAAUGACAAAACGCUUUUAGUACCAGAGAGAAGUUAGGGUUUUAAGAUUUCCACCGACGGAUUAUCGAACAAGAAUUACUCACUAAUUUCAUGAGCUUAUUAAAGUUUCUCGAUCGAAAAAUAGUUGGUGGUGAACUGAGAAGAAAAUUGACUUUGUUGGUGAACUUGGAAAGACGAACAAGAACCAAGGGGCAAUGGAUUGAGGAUUGUGUAUAUCACCGGUCAUUCGAUGCACAUGUGAUCAUUCCUAAGUAGGGAUUUCAUUAGUUGGAAAGGAUUCAAUACCAAGGAGCAUGGAGGUUUGGGUUUUUUUGAUCUCUGGAGAUUCUCAACAGGGCAAUGGUUGCUCAACUAGGUUGGUGUUUACUUACUGAUCCAGUGAUCCUGACACUUUAUGGGUAUACUUACUGAAGGCCAAAUACCUUAUAAGUAGACCAUUUGGGGAUGUUCAGAAUACGUCGGUUGCAUCGAGUACAUGGCGAGCAAUUCUGACAUUAAAGAAGGCUAUGUAUAUGGUCUUUAAGCAAAGUAUGAUGUGAAUAUCAUGGAUCCCAACCAUUUCAUCUUUUGCACCUACCCUGCAAGAAGCUUAGCAUGUGGAAUACUCAACUAUUGCUAACUGUUAAUGCCAACUUCUGGAGGCUGGAAUUCUUAGUAGCUAAACACCUUGUUCUGUAGACAAACAAUGCAAGAGAUCCACAUUCCAGUGACUGGUAGGAAGACAGGCUCAUUUGGAUGCUUACAAAGAUGGGGUAAUUUAGCUCAGAGUCAUUUGGAAGAUUCCUGGAAGAUGAGUCUGGACAUGCUGCAUCAAAUCUGCUAUCCUUAUUCGCUGGAAAAAACUGUGGCAGGUAAGAACUAAUGCACCUUAGGUAAAGAAUAAUCAUUUGGCGAAUAAUACAUGAAGGACAAGGAUGUAGGGACCUGAUUAAGAGAAUCAUCCUAGAGGUUGAACCUUAUGUUAUUAUGGAGACAAGGAAGAGACAGUUGAACAUUUAUUCCUGCACAACCCCAGAAUAAACGUUAUUUUAUUCGCAUCAGCAUUGAACUUUAGAGUGGAUGAAACUUCAGUAAACUCUAUCAGAGAUGUUACUGCAAGAUGGAAUGGGAAAGAUGCAAGACCUUUUGCUAUGGUGCCAAUCUCCUCUGGUGGUCUGGAAGUCGGGAGACAAAUUGAUAUUUGAGCAGCAAUCAACCACAGUUGAAGCGGUACUGCAAGCUUCAUUCUUAAUCUAUAUCUAUAACAAAGAUGAGGUGCAAGGUGUUCAACCUGAGGUUGAGGUCACCCCUGGGACACCUGCUACCUGGAGCCUACCAGCUGGAGAUGUGAUUAAGAUUAGUUUUGGUGGAACAGUUCAACGGUUUUUGCUAGAGAUAAGGAGGCAAAUUUUGAGGAACUGAUCAUCGAAGGGGAUUGAUUGUAAGCAGUUAAUCGAUGUUCUAAACAAGCACAACACUUUCAUUCCCUAGAAGAUCAGACGUUUGGUAGAAGAGAAUGAAGUUUGCUCUCAACAACUAAAUCAUUUGCAGUUCAAUUACAUGGAACAAGAUGCCAACUAUGUGGCGCAUAUUCUCGCAAAGGUGACUCUGGAUUAACAGGACUGGUAAACUUCUCCAAAUCCUCCCCGCUUCAUUUUUUUUUUUUUUUUGCUUGAUAAUUCUCAAAAUUUAUUAAACUCAAAGUUAUUACAGA